UGCACCUGAUUGAUUUUGGUCGCCAACGAGUGGCGGACGGGUGAGUAACACGUAGGUAACCUGCCCAGAAGCGGGGGACAACAUUUGGAAACAGAUGCUAAUACCGCAUAACAGCGUUGUUCGCAUGAACAACGCUUAAAAGAUGGCUUCUCGCUAUCACUUCUGGAUGGACCUGCGGUGCAUUAGCUUGUUGGUGGGGUAACGGCCUACCAAGGCGAUGAUGCAUAGCCGAGUUGAGAGACUGAUCGGCCACAAUGGGACUGAGACACGGCCCAUACUCCUACGGGAGGCAGCAGUAGGGAAUCUUCCACAAUGGGCGCAAGCCUGAUGGAGCAACACCGCGUGAGUGAAGAAGGGUUUCGGCUCGUAAAGCUCUGUUGUUAAAGAAGAACACGUAUGAGAGUAACUGUUCAUACGUUGACGGUAUUUAACCAGAAAGUCACGGCUAACUACGUGCCAGCAGCCGCGGUAAUACGUAGGUGGCAAGCGUUAUCCGGAUUUAUUGGGCGUAAAGAGAGUGCAGGCGGUUUUCUAAGUCUGAUGUGAAAGCCUUCGGCUUAACCGGAGAAGUGCAUCGGAAACUGGAUAACUUGAGUGCAGAAGAGGGUAGUGGAACUCCAUGUGUAGCGGUGGAAUGCGUAGAUAUAUGGAAGAACACCAGUGGCGAAGGCGGCUACCUGGUCUGCAACUGACGCUGAGACUCGAAAGCAUGGGUAGCGAACAGGAUUAGAUACCCUGGUAGUCCAUGCCGUAAACGAUGAGUGCUAGGUGUUGGAGGGUUUCCGCCCUUCAGUGCCGGAGCUAACGCAUUAAGCACUCCGCCUGGGGAGUACGACCGCAAGGUUGAACUCAAGGAAUUGACGGGGCCCGCACAAGCGGUGGAGCAUGUGGUUUAAUUCGAAGCUACGCGAAGAACCUUACCAGGUCUUGACAUCUUGCGCCACC
rnacentral:rRNA from 2 species